rnacentral:tRNA from 1 species
UCGGGGAUCGUCUAACGGCAGGACUACGGACUCUGACUCCGUCGAUCUAGGUUCGAAUCCUAGUCCCCGAACCA